UAUCUCUCCGUACGGGGAAGGAUGAGAAGCUUCGACUAAGGUUCGAUUCGAGCGCAGCGAGAAAGCGUU
rnacentral:sRNA from 3 species